rnacentral:rRNA from 1 species
CCUACGGGUGGCAGCAGUGGGGAAUAUUGCACAAUGGCGCAAGCCUGAUGCAGCCAUGCCGCGUGUAUGAAGAAGGCCUUCGGGUUGUAAAGUACUUUCAGCGGGGAGGAAGGCGAUAAGGUUAAUAACCUUGUCGAUUGACGUUACCCGCAGAAGAAGCACCGGCUAACUCCGUGCCAGCAGCCGCGGUAAUACGGAGGGUGCAAGCGUUAAUCGGAAUUACUGGGCGUAAAGCACACGCAGGCGGUCUGUCAAGUCGGAUGUGAAAUCCCCGGGCUCAACCUGGGAACUGCAUUCGAAACUGGCAGGCUGGAGUCUUGUAGAGGGGGGUAGAAUUCCAGGUGUAGCGGUGAAAUGCGUAGAGAUCUGGAAGAAUACCGGUGGCGAAGGCGGCCCCCUGGACAAAGACUGACGCUCAGGUGCGAAAGCGUGGGGAGCAAUCAGGAUUAGAUACCCCGGUAGUC